AUCCUGGCUCAGAUUGAACGCUGGCGGCAUGCCUUACACAUGCAAGUCGAACGGGCAGCACGGGAGCAAUCCUGGUGGCGAGUGGCGAACGGGUGAGUAAUAUAUCGGAACGUGCCCAGUCGUGGGGGAUAACGUAGCGAAAGCUACGCUAAUACCGCAUACGAUCUAUGGAUGAAAGCGGGGGGAUCGCAAGACCUCGCGCGAUUGGAGCGGCCGAUAUCAGAUUAGCUAGAUGGUAAGGUAACGGCUUACCAUGGCUACGAUAGGUAGGGGUCCUGAGAGGGAGAUCCCCCACACUGGUACUGAGACACGGACCAGACUCCUACGGGAGGCAGCAGUGGGGAAUUUUGGACAAUGGACGCAAGUCUGAUCCAGCCAUUCCGCGUGCAGGAUGAAGGCCCUCGGGUUGUAAACUGCUUUUGUACGGAACGAAAAGGUUUCUAUUAAUACUAGGAGCUCAUGACGGUACCGUAAGAAUAAGCACCGGCUAACUACGUG
rnacentral:rRNA from 1 species